rnacentral:ncRNA from 1 species
UUUGAUGCGAUAACAGGAUUUCAGUAGUUAGUUCGCCAAUGUUUAAGAGAGCCGGUGGGUGGUGUAAACCGGUACAAGCGAAAUGAUGAAUUACCUCCUCGAGCAGCAUUCGGGAAUGCUUUAUGUAAAGCUGUGUAGCGAAUGCCGGAACCUUUCCGUUAAAAGGAUAAGCGGCGAGACAGUUAUAUGUUUCGCAAGUUGGGUGGUACCGCGAUAGUAAUCGUCCCUUCA